AGUAACGCGUGAGGAACCUGCCUUCCAGAGGGGGACAACAGUUGGAAACGACUGCUAAUACCGCAUGAUACAUUUUGAAUCGCAUGGUUUGAAUGUCAAAGAUUUAUCGCUGGAAGAUGGCCUCGCGUCUGAUUAGCUAGUUGGUGAGGUAACGGCCCACCAAGGCGACGAUCAGUAGCCGGACUGAGAGGUUGGCCGGCCACAUUGGGACUGAGAUACGGCCCAGACUCCUACGGGAGGCAGCAG
rnacentral:rRNA from 1 species